UAUUAAUAUUUCAUCUAUUUGUACUGUUAAAAGCUAGCAUGCCUGAUGGAAUAACUAGACAGUUCGUCAAGAUGACGUACAAAGACUAAUUUUUAACAAUAGAAAUGGAUGUAAUUUUAAACA
rfam:Gossypium raimondii Chr02_contig_1479, whole genome shotgun sequence.